AUUGAACGCUGGCGGCCUGCCUAACACAUGCAAGUCGAGCGAGCGGCGGACGGGUGAGUAAUGUAUGGGGACUGCCCGAUAGCGGGGGAUAACUACUGGAAACGGUUGCUAAUACCGCAUACUAUCGGAUAACCCAUAUGGGAUUAGCUGGUAGGUGGGGAAAAGGCUCACCUAGGCGACGAUCUCUAGCUGGUCUGAGAGGAUGAUCAGACACACGGGGAAUGAGACACGGCCCAGACUCCUUCGGUGGCAGCAGUGGGGAAGAUGGCACAAUGGGAGCAAGCAUGAUGCAGCAAUGCCGUGUGGAUGAAGAAGGCCUUAGGGUUGUAAAGGACUUUCAGCGGGGAGGCGUUACCCGCAGAAGAAGCACCGGCUAACUCCGUGCCAGCAGCCGCGGUAAUAC
rnacentral:rRNA from 1 species